AAAAUCCUAUAAAAGGGAAUUGUAGUCUGUCGAAGUAAAGUCAACUUAUAAUAUGAAAUCAAGUCUUUAAGAAAACUGUACCAUGGAGGGUGAUAGUCCCGUUUAAAUUUGAUAUUUAUAAGUGUACGACUAACUUUCAAUGAGUCGAGUUGCUUGGGAUUGCAGCUCAAAGUGGGUGGUAAAUUCCAUCUAAAGCUAAAUAUUGGUGGGAGACCGAUAGUGAACAAGUACCGUGAGGGAAAGAUGCAAAGAACUUUGAAAAGAGAGUUAAAGAGUACCUGAAAUUGCUGAAAUGGAACCGAUGGGAGAUAGUGUUAAUAUAUAAAUAUUUUAUAUAAUUUGUUUACAAAUUGUAUGUGAUAUUAUAUAUAAGUUAAACUUUUUUUAUGAUUGUAAAAGAAAUGUAUUAAUUAUAAAUUUCUUAUGAAAUUUUAAUAUAAUUUAUUAUAAUUUAAAAAGACUUUAACAAAAUAUCUCUUAUCAACCCGUCUUGAAACACGGACCAAGGAGUCUAACAUGUGUGCAAGUACUAUAGGGUAUAUAAUCCUAUAUUGCGUAAUAAAAGUGAAUUUUCUUUAUUGAAAAAGAUAGUAAAUUGUAUAUAAUUACACUAUCUACCGACCAUGAUCCUAUGGGUGAAAGGUUUGAGUGUGAGCAUACAUGUUGGGACCCGAAAGAUGGUGAACUAUGCCUGAGUAGGAUGAAGCCAGGGGAAACUCUGGUGGAGGUCCGUAGCGAUUCUAACGUGCAAAUUGAUCGUCAAACUUGGGUAUAGGGGCGAAAGACUAAUCGAACCAUCUAGUAGCUGGUUCCUCCCGAAAUUUCCCUUAGGAUAGCUGCAACCGAUUUUAAACAGUUUUAUCAGGUAAAGCGAAUGAUUAGAGGCAUCAGGGGUGGAACGUCCUUGACCUAUUCUCAAACUUUAAAUGGGUACGAUCGAUAUGUUUUUUAAUUAAACAUAUACGUUGAAUGACUGGUUGCUAGUGGGCCAAUCUGGGUAAGCUAGAUUGGCGAUGCGGGAUGAUCCGAACGUUAAGUUAAAGUGCCAAAAUAUUCGCUCACCUAGAUCCCACAAAAGGUGUUGGUUCAU
rnacentral:rRNA from 1 species